UCACUCUUGCAGCAGUAGGGUAGGUAAAUGGGAAGGGACCAUAGAAGAGGAGAGUUGGAUAAACUAAGGGGCCAUUGUUGUGUCACAGUGGGAAAGGAUGAGGUUCUGAACUCAGAAACAGUGGGCUGGUAGAGAAGGAGACACAUUUGUGCAAUAUUUAGGAAGCAAAAUUGUAGAGCAGGAAUGGAUCUGAAGUCAAUGAAAAACUCUUCAUAGCUCUAGUUGUUGGGCUUCCCCAGAAGAUGACAUUGAAAGGAAGGUUUGGAUGCAAGUUGUUCAUUUAGGAGGAGAUCUCAGGAAGCACAAAGUAUUUCCUUGAGUCAGGACCUCCAAGUCCUCCCCUAACAGACAGAUGGGUGGAUGACUACAACUGUGAUCUCAGAGGAAUGAAGGAACCCCAGGAAGGACACUGUAGAAAGAGAACUGGUGUCCUUAUAAGAGAAAUUUAAACACAGAAAUGCACAGAGGGAGGACCCUAUGAAGACUCAGAGAGAAGAUGGCCAUCUGUAAGCUAAGGAGAGAGGCAUCAGCAGAAACCAACUCUGUGGACACCUUGAUCUUGGACUUCCAGCCUCCGGAAGUGUGAGACACUGAAUUUCGGUAUAUAAGCCAGUCAAUCCAUGGGCCAGGUAUGCUGGGUGCUGGAGAGAGCCCUGGACUUGGAGUCAAAAGACUGCAGUUGGAGCAGAGGAUCUUCCCUCAGAAGUUCUGCUGUGGUGCAGCAGGUCCAUAAAUUCAUCAGCUUCCCAGGCUGCUUCCACCUUU
rnacentral:lncRNA from 1 species